CGGAAAUAAACCGGAAGUCACCUUUGUCGCAAAGCAUUAUGGGCUUCUGGAAUAAGGCGAAGGAGGACAGUCCUGCCAACAUAAUAGUUUGUUCAAUAACAGGAGACAAACAGAAACACAGAGGUGCUAUACAUUCCGAUGGAAAAUACAACAAAAGAAGAAUUUUAAGAAAGGUGAUGGUUGGGCACACACAAGAAGACAUAGAUCACAUGUGUCCAGGCAUAUGAGUAGACAUGAGUUUCACACUCUGCCAAACUUACUUCAUCAGAGGAGCAGAAAGCUUCUCAAGAUCCCGCAGUGCACACUUAGAUAUAGUCUUUGACUACAACAAGGGGAUGAAAGUACAGAGAGGUCCAAUUGAAAUCAAUUCUGUGCUGCGUCAUUUCUUCAUUCUGGAAGUCGAUGGACAUGAUUUAUCAUGGCAUCAGGUGUGCAGUUUGUCGACUAUCAGCAGUCUUGUUCACCAGUUGUGCAACUUGAGCUGGUAGCUUUAUUGCUUGAAGCCACAGCAUAAGAGGGGGAAGGUGCAGGCUCAUCAAAAAGUCUCAAAAGUUGAAACUAGGAAAAGAAGUUUGUCAAGAGUGUGAAUAUUUGCUUUGAAAACCAUCGUUAUGAUGAUUUGGUUUCCUUUGAAACUUGAUACAUACUAUGUGUAUGUUGAAUGAAUUGAGAUGCUUAAAUAAAGAACCGCUAUUCAAAUAUCAGGAAACUGCAUUUUUCAUACUAAAGGGUAAAUGAUGUCGCCAUUUCCUGUAUGUAUUUAAAUGAGAUAUGUUUCCACAAUUAAUAUUUUUAGGGAAUUUUUCUCAUCCUAAUGAAUGAGAUUAAAUUGUACAGCGUUAUAUGAGCUUAAUAUGUGUUUUCUGUUUCUUUAAAAUUGGUGAAAAAUUGUCAGAAGAUAAUUAGACCAGUAUCCAUUACUGCAAUUAUACAAUCAAAUAUACAGGGACAAACCCACUGGGCAUAUAAUAUAAUUAAACCCUGUUUAGGGGCAUGAGGCAAACAGAGUUACUUUCAAACAUUAAAGCUGCACUCUCACAUUUUGGACGUUUUGACAACUUUUCUCAUUUUAUGUCUUGGAUUGGAACCAUCCAAUUUUUGCGAAAAAUUAAAUGGCAGAUUUUUCUAUUUAAGUUAAAACAUUGAUGUUUUAUGCACUUUUCUUAAACCGUUAGUAACAUUAAUUUUUGAACGGAAAUAUGAAAUCUGUGAUCUGAUCUUUUGUCAGCAAUCUUUUAUCAUUGGUUUGCAGAUAAUUACGCAAAAAAUUGCUCAUUCAAAAACAAAAAAAGUUGUGAAAACGGUAUAUCUGUGGGAGUGCAGCUCUAAAUGUUUAAUUUCUUGAUUUUACUACUGUAUUAGAAAUUACAGGGGUUGGGGCAUAUUUUUAGUGUUUUUAUUGCUUUUUAUUUUCAUACAGUCAUACUUUAUUCCUCAGGGCAUAACUUACAAAUAGACAAAACUGGAAAAUGGUCGUUUCAAAAGGCCAAAGAUAAUGCAAGUUGAACAAUAUUGUUCAUGGCUUGUAUUUUUGGUGUAUUUUGUUGCAUAUGCUAUAGAAAAGUUGAAAGUUAAAAAUAAAUUCAUAGUUGAAAUGAUGGCUUUGAAUGGUAUUGUCAGAUGAGAAACGGCACUUUUAAGAAAUAGGUAUAAUGGUACUUUAUUUAUUUUGAUCAAUUUUAGAUAUUGUAUGAAAAUUAUUAUCUUAUUUAGUACAUGAGACCUUUUAAACAGUUAUUGACAAUAUAACAAUGUGUAUAUGAAGCUUAAAGCUGCACUCUUACAGAUUGUCAGUUAAGACACAAAAUUGUCUCAAAAUCUGCUGAUUUGGUUAUCAUUCCUUUAAUUCGGUCAUAUUAGAUAAUUCACAAUAGAACCCAUCAGAAAUGUAAAAGUGCCGAAAAUUUCAUUUACAUUAAAUUGUUCGUAAUGCUUUUAGCCAUAAAACAUCAUUUUUUUAACAUAAAUAUGAUAAACUGCUAUCUGAUCUUUUUUCAGCAGUCUUAUAUCACUUAAAAUUGGGUCUAGACAUUUAUGCAAAAAAAUUAUCCAUUUAUAGACAAACAAUAAAAGAGUACCGGUAGUCAAAACGAUCAAUCGGUGAGAUUGCAGCUUUAAAUACACCUUUUAAGACCGCUGUAAAAUUCCAAUGGUUUGCCUAAAUCUUUAAAGCUUGCAUACUGUUUAAUUAACAACCAUACUUAUUGUUUAAAAGUGUCAUGAUAUCUUUGUACAAUGUUUUUAUAUAAUUCAUUAAAGAAGUCAAAACAAAUUUGUUUAUCUUGUAAAUUGUUUUCUAUUAUUUAAAUGACCCAGACAAAAAUGGGAACGUCAGUGCUAGUUCUUUUACUAUUAACAUCCCAUGAAGUUUCUAUUGGUGUAGCAGCAAGGAGGUGUUAUAUUAAGGAUGCAUCAUUUAAACCAAAUUAUACAUUUGGCACCGUGCACCCCAGUUAAGUCGUGCAGCGUCGGGAACGGGCCAGUAUAUACACUCCGGUAUAGUAGGGGUGGUCACCGAGCCCGAGCCACACUGUCUAAGGGGCACGUGCAAUUGGCCAUUAAUUUGGGGAAUUAGCUGGCACAACUGCGAGUUACCGUUUAAGUUCAGAUCACGUUUAAUGGUUCACUUUGAUUAACAACUCAAGUCCAAUUAAGAUGUUUAAAAGUUGGUUCUUUAUUAAUUCCACAUUUGAGUUGAAUAGUUAACAAAGAUAAAUCCAAAGACUUAUUUAACAAGAAACAUUCAAUAGUCCAUGUGAUAUAUUAAGUUAUGAAAGUAAGUGAAUUAAUUAUAUAGUCACAAAAAAAAGUAGUUCAAAGAUAUUUCCUUAGUAAAAGAAGAAGUACAAAGUUCCUAGUCUAUAUGUAUAUCUAAUGUAUAUAUUUCUCCUUCUCCUUAAAUGAAAAAUGUACAUACUUAUAUACUAACUUAAAGAGUAGAAGUUACCAAUCAGAAUUAAGUGAUAAAAAGAUAAUGAUCGAAGAUUUUAGAAAGUGUCACUCAAAAAUAAUUAUUGUCAAAAAUAAAAUUUACAAUUAGAUUAAGUCUGAGAUAAUUGAGAAGUGUCAAAGUCUCAAAGAGUAAGGUUUAUGAUUAUGAUCUGAGAUAAUUAACUGAUAAUAAUUAAGAAGAGGAGGCAGGAAAAUCUUA